UUUUUUUUUUUGGAAUGACAGGAAGUCCACAUAGGUAAAGGUGAGUAACGGUACAACAGUGAGCUGAGAUGUGUCUGAACUACAUUCUGUUGAAACACUUGUAACUACAUUCCCCCCAGGACCUUAGGCACCAAGAGAAGCUUUGCUGAGACAGGAAAAUAUAAACUUUGUGUUAUUCUUUAGGGGAAAAACAAGUAUGUCUACUAAAAAUGGAAAACCUAUGUUGGGAAAACAAUGGAGUAAUAAUAGUGGUAAUUAGGAAAAUACAUUGUUUAAAUAAUUUAUCAUAAUGUGGCUAUUAAGAAAACUAUUAAACAGAAGUCCUAAAGCAGACACAAAGGGCUUAUUAUAAAUCAUUUUAACAGUAGGAAAAGAGAAUUCAGCUUUGUUUAUGAGAGUACUGUUUGGAACUCUACCUACCACCCCCAUAUUGUAGCAGAUGACAGUGGGGAGCUGUAAAAGCCUAAACAUGCUAGAGAAUUUGUUUUAUAGGAGUUAGGGCAAGUUAAAAUUAACUUAUGGUAUUUUUCAGAAAAUGUUUUUUUUUUCUUCUUCUUCUUAAGGCCCUGAAUUCUUGGCUUCAUUCCAUGACAAGAUGGAUGACAUGAACUGAAAUCAGACCAGAGGCUCUGGUGAGCUCUUGCACUGGGAUGGGGUGGCUGACAGAAUAUUUGGAAAGAACUUAAAGUCAGGAACUGAAUACUGGCAUGAACAAGCCACCUCUAUUGGAGAUGAAGGAUGGAUUUUUAUGCUAUGGAGCAUAGCAGAGUAGAGAAAUUGAGAAAAGAUGUCAAUGGAAGUAAAGAAAGUCAGCACUGUUACUCAGAGUAGAAUAAAACCUUUAUUUUAGGGUGAAGGACUACUUUUAGAUAUGGUCAAAAUGUUUCUUUUUCAAUAUACAUCAAAUGCUUGAGUGCUUUCGGGGUAAAAAAAAUUAUAUCACUUCCAAUCAUUUUGUGAUCUAAAUAUUCUAGCUCUCCUGAAAACAUAAAUGUCCCCUUUUGGAAACUAGUAGGAAGGAAUAAACAAAAAUCCCUCAAGAGCACACACACACACACACACACACACAUUCACACAUACUCACACAGUCACUCACACACACAGUAUACAUACAUACACAGCCUCUCUCUCUUUCUCUCUCUCUCUCUCACACACACACACAUACACACACACACACACACAGCAGCCUCAUAAAAAAUAUAGAACAAAUGGAUUAAAUAGAGCAAGGAACAAAUGCUGAUGUUUGAGGUGGAAAGAAGCCAGGUUCCUGGCAUAGAUGAAGCAUGGACUAGAACAGAUGUGGGUAUAUGAAGAGGGUUACAGAAAACCUGGAUGUUGGGAGUUCAUUAGAAAACUGGUAUUUAAAGGUCUUUACCCUUAUGGAGUUUAAUCUUGUACUUAAUAAACAGAAUAUACAGUAGUGAGGGAUCCAGAAAUUGGUGAUAGGAUCUAAAUUUUUCAUUAUGAGGUCUGAUGGAUGACUCAGUGGGUAAAGACACAUAUCUCAAAGUCUGAUGACCUGAGUUCAAGUCUCAAAACUCACAUGGUGGAAGGUAAUAAGCAAAGUCCCCAAGUUGUCCUCUGAUCUCCACCCUAUCUGGGCAGUAAAUAAUUGUAAAGCAUAAAAUUUGUGUGAUGAGAGCCCACAAAAGAAAUUUAAAAAAAAACACUAGACACAUUUAAAAGGAGAUAGUUUUAUUAUAAACAUCUUUAGUGUAAAAAUUAUAAUAUUAAGGUAUAUAAAUAAACAUAUACAUAUAUCAAUAUAAUCACAUUACAAUAAAAGUGAUACUUAAAACUUAUAAAUAUAGAUAAAAGAAAUCCAGUACCAAAUGGUCUGCCCUGAAAACUCAUAUACAAGUAACAUAUAGACUGAAGAGGUUGUAUAUAGGAAUAUACAUUACAUAUAUUCCCAUAUUAUAUAUAUUCCUAUAUUAUAUAUUCCUAUAUUACAUAUAUUCAUAUAUACAUAUACACACAUAUACAUAUAUAUGUAUGUGUAUAUAUGUAUAUAUAUGUGUGUGUAUAUAUGUGUGUAUAUAUAUAUAUAUAUAUAUAUAUGAAAAAACACACCAUGAAUUUGAAAGAGAGUGGGAGGGUUUGGAUGAAGGAAAGGGAAGGAAGUAAUUAUAACUUCAAAAAUAAAAGGUGUCAUAUACAUUGACAGAUGUAGAAAGGAAAAAAUAGCAAAAUUCCAAAAUAAAUUAUGAGCAAAUAGUAUCAAGUAAAAUUAAUGUGAACUUUCAAAUUAUGAAUCCAGUGACAAAUAUUCUCAGAUGAAAUAAAAUCUCAGUUUCCUUUUUCCCCCAAUACUAACAAUUUUGAUUACAAGUUUUUAUGAUGUGGACUAUCAAGAGACAUGACAAAUCUAAGUCAUACCUGUUAUUCAUUGUGUUAAUUAUCUAUUAAUAAAAGCUUAAUUUUUCAUAAGGUAAAAAUACUGUAUUAUGUUUUAUUUGAAAAGGGGACAUUUAAAAGAGGAAAUUUUGACAAAAUAAUUAAAUAGAAGAGUUUACACUUAUUUUAUUUUAAAUCAAGCAAACAAAAAUAGAAAACUGAACAAAUAAUAUGUUUGAUUUACUAUAGAGCAAUAUAAAAUACUACCUUAACAAAAAUAAAAUACAUCAAUAGUCUAUGGGAAAAUUUAUUACAUAUAAGAUGCAAAGAAAUUAUCCAUAUUAUAUAUUUAUAUUAUAUUAUUUACAAUUGAGAUACUUUCUCCAUAUGUGAAAUAGCAUGAGUAGAAAUUAGAGAAAUUUUUUAAAGGACGGAAAAAGAAAACCCCAACCGAAAGCUAACUGAGAUAAAAUAGCUAUCUUUGUAAUAUAAUUCGAGGGAAUGAGUAUGUGACUCAGGAGGCAGAACGUAUAUUCCGCAUACAGGAAGCUCUGGCCAGGCUCCAUCCCAGCACUGCAUUACACAAACACAGUGACAUACAGAUGGUGUGGUGAAAGGCAGAGUAUGAAACUACUGCAUAUAGAUGGGCUGUAUGUAUACUGGGAUCUUAACUCCAAAGGCAGCAAGGCAAUGCCCGGAAGACCAGUACUCUGAUCCCUGCACAAUCUUCUCUCUCCCCAGUGUGUUAUGUUAUGUUAUAGGAAAGGGAAAGAGGUGCUUUCUAUAAGCAGCUGUUCAUAUAGAGUUUUAUCUUUUAAAUGAAACAGAGACAUACCAAAGUACUACUACCAAGUUAGAUUUUUAGUCCUAGAAUAGUAAAGUAGAUCAGUUAAUUACAGUAAUUACAUUAAUAAAUUAAAGAGAAUAACUAUACUUUAUCCUGAUAAUCAUUUGCAAAGACACCAGAAAAAAUGGUAUCAUUCUAUACAUAUUCCUAAUAAAUCAAAAGAAUGGAAGGACAUUUAUAUAACAUGAAAAGAAGCAUAUAUUGGAAUCAAUGGAAAUUAUUUCUGUAAAUGAAACACUAACAAAUUUCUAUUAAGGUAAAAAUAAAAUAAAAGAGAUUACUGUUCUUUAUUCAACAAUAUAAGUGUGCACUAUUCUAAGAGUCAUAAAGUCUUUACUAAUGUUGUAAUAAGGAAACACCAUAUAAAAAUAUCAGGCUAAAGUUUCAUUAUUAAAAUGUACAUGAUUAUGUGCAUCAGAAUUAAAAAUAUUCAACUAAAGAAAUACAAUAUUAGAAGAAGAAAUAGCUAAAUAUGAUGACUGAACAUAAAUGUUAAGACAAUAAAUAAUAAAUUUUUAAAAUGCAACUGUAAUACUACCAACAACAGUCACACAGAGUCAAUCAGUAUGUUCAAAAAUAAGCAUACACAGAACAGAAACCUGGCCAAAACAAAGAACUACUUGAGGAGAUGAUGAUACUAAUUAUCCUGACUUUAUAGUUACAAAUUAUAUACAUGCAUAAAACUAUUAUGUAUAUAGUAAAAGAUGUAGUAUCAUUCAUUAGAAUAACAGUUACGUAUUUAGAGGAAAAAAAAAACAAAGAAAAGGCCUAUUACUGUUUUGUGACUACAACAAAAUUAGACAAACGGAGAAAGAAAAUAAGUAUCUGGAUACAAAUUCAUGACUCUAAAUGUGCCAACUUGUGCCAUAACUUGAAAGCUCUCAGGCAUUUCAAAAGUAUGUUUCAAUGGAAGUUGAUGCUAAAAUUCAUCUAACAUCACAUAUGCACAAAAAGGGGGAAAUCAGAGAAAAGAUGAAUAAUGAAGGAAACAACAUUGGUGUCAUACUUAAAAAUAUCAGGCUCCUGCAAAUAAAUCAAUGAGGUCCUAACCUCAAUAAUAGUUAAAUACUUUCCACAACAACAACAAAAAAAACCUCACCUAUAUAUUUUAUGAUAGAAUUUCAGUUCAGUGUAGAAAUAAUGACAUUUGGAGAUCUGGUUAUCUUUUCUGAAAAAGAAAACUUAACUUCCUAUUUCUCAGUAAACCCAGACACACAAAAGAAAGCAAAAUUUAAGGAGUCUAAAGUAUCAAGCAAGAAAGACAUACAAUUAUUAGAAGGAAAUAUGAGAAAAUAAUUUUAUAAUCCUACUAAAAUAUAACACAAAACCAAUAAAAUAGAAAAGAAUGAAAUAUUUGUCUAUUUUAUAUAAUAAAAUUUACCUUUAUGGAAACCAGUACCUCAAAUACAUACAGCAAAUGUUAGGCAUUUGCAGUGGCAAUCUGUACCAGAAAAGAGGAAAUCAACUAUACUAUCCAGAGAUCUCUUAAAAUUAAAUUUUACAGAGACAAAUGACACAACUAAAGUAUAAGAUGAGAAAAUUUUCCAACAGAAGAAAAAUGGAUAUAUGAAAAAGCUGAUUAACUUUAUUAGUGAAUGCAGGAAAAUUAUGUCAAGCUAUUAUUCCCAUCAAAAUUGUUGAUAUAAGCUAAAUAGAAUGGUAGUAGGCAGCAUGCAAGACAGGCAAUUCAAUUCAAACGUUUUGAUGUAGACCUUUCAUUUCUAAGUUAUUAGCUUAUCAAAAAAUAAAAACUUGUAAAAGUAGACAAAAUAGAUUCAAAAAUACUCUUCAUAUUAUUAUCUAUAAGUACAACAGAAUGCGAUAAGCCUAAAUCCUAAACACACAUCAUGUGAAAAGAAUGUAAUAGGAAUACAAUUUGUACUAAGCAAUGUACUGUAACUAAAAUGGAUUUCAGGCUGGCAAGAUGCACAGCAGAUAAAGAAAGGUUCUUACUGCUAAACUUGACAUCCUGAGUUCAAACCCCUCAUGAUCUGUGGAGAAAACAGACUUAAGUAUUUUCUUCUGACCUGUCAUAUACAUAGGAACACACACACAUGCACACAUACCCACUAAUACUAAUAAUUAAUGCAAUACAAAAUGUUAUUCUAUUAAUAUAUAACAAUAUGUAAUAAUUCUAUUUGUGAAACACUCAACAAACGAUAGACAUUAAUAGACAAACCAUUUAAAAGGUCAAAUCAUUAUAGCUAACUCUAUGCAGUGAUAUUACGAAACAAUGUUUUCAAUUCUUACUGAAUAUAUUACUACAUUAUUAAUCAUUUACCAUAAACACGUAUUUGUGUGUGAGGGUGUAUAUAUGUUUGUGUGAGUAUGUGCACAUGUGCAUGCAGAUACACAUUCACGUGUGCAAACUCGCAUUUCAAGCAUUCUUUAUGAUCAGGUUACAUGUUACUUUUUAAAUAAGGGUCUUUAAGACAGGGUCUCUUAAUGAGCUGAUAGAAUCUGCUAGAAUGACUGGCUAGAGUGAACCCCAAGGAUCUGUCUAUCUCUACUGCCUUUCAACAAUUUGGUUUCAGAUAGACACCGCCAUUUUUAUGUGGGUUCUGGGCAUCUAAACUCAGGGCAUUAUGCUUUUAUGGGCAGGUACUUUACAGACUGAGCUAUUCUGUUUUUAAAUAAAUAAAUAAAUAAAUAAAUAAAUAAAUAAAUAAAUAAAUAAAUGCCUAGCCUGGCCUCCUUUUGGAACUUUUUCUACUAAAAUUUUAGAGUGCAUUGGGUUCCUUUUCCAAAGAUAUAUAUGUUGCUCUCUAUCUAUAAGACAUAUAGAUAUAGAUAUAGAUAUAGAUAUAUAUAUAUAUAGAGAGAGAGAGAGAGAGAGAGAAUUUUCCUCUUACUGUAAACAACUUGUGAACAUAGUACCAUUUUAGUAAAUGUUCUUCCUGGUAUAAACCAGCACCACUGGAAAGUAUCUAUCAUAUACUGUACCAGGAAUUUCUUUUAACAAUCUCCAAUGUUUGGCAUCUGUAUGGCUUGUAAUUUUUUCUGUGUUAAAGCACGAUGAGGCUAACAACAUUUGACUCAGUAACUUCUCAUUUUAGUUAUUUAUUUUAAAUAUUAUCUAAACAAGUUUUCAAAUAAGUAUAAACUUGACUACAUGUAAUAUGAUACAAUGUGGGUUCUACACAACUUGUACUGUGCAUAUGUUUACCAUAGCAUGUUUUAAUAGUACUAAAAUGUUUUAAGGAACUUAAUGUAUGCCAAAUUGAGACAAAAUAAAUAUAUCAUUUAUUGAAGUCAUAACACAUUUUGAAGUCAUAACACAGUUUACUGUUGUGAAAAUUUACAACUUCCAUUAAUUCAAAAAAUAGAUUGCAGAGUGGUCAAAUCAUUUCAUUCUGGAAAAAUACAUAAACACUGAAAAUUAUGGAAGAAUAUACACCAAAAUCUUUAUAAAGAUUUUCUGUGAGAUUUCGAUAAUUUGAGGAUAUACUUUUUUUUUACUUUGUUUCUUUAUAUUUUGAAAUUUUGCAAUAAUACUUAGUUACAUAUAUUUUUAAUAUUUAAGUAAGUAAUAAACUUUGAAUACAACUGUUUAAAUGUUUUUCUUCAAUAUAAGGUUUAUUUGGAUGGUAAGAACUUUGGGGGAAACAGAAAAAAUAUAAAAAAAGAAUCACAUAUACUUCUUAUACUAUGAUAACCAUAUCAUAUUUUCUAAUGGUCAUUUGUCUCUGAUCAUAUAUUUAAGAAGAGCUGCAGCCACACUUUAUAUCAUUAAGCUGAUUUUAAAACUAGAAUUAGAAUUACCUAAUUCACAAACCAUAAAUAUUUUAAUGACAAAUAUUAUAUAUAAUCAACAUGUUUACUUAUUCUUUUCCCUUAAAGCUAGAGCCAGUGACCAGGGAGAUAACUCAGCCAAUAAUGUACAUGUCUUACAAACAUGGUUAUAAUUUUAAAUGGCUAGAUCUAGUGGUGUGCCCUUAAAAUUCCAGCACUGGUGAGACAAAGACAUAUGAACACAUAAUUAAAAAACUCUAGACCAAUGAGAGAUGUUGGAUCAAAACAAAGAAACAAAAUUAAAGCAGAUGGCUUCUGAAAAAUGAGAUUCAAAGUCAUCUCUAAUUUCCACAGGUAUACACAUGUGUAUGUGCACUCACAAACAAUAGUGUAACUGCACAUAUAUGCGCGUGCACGCGUGCACACACACAAUCUAAUGAGUUUUUCCCAUUUUUAUAAUAUCCAUUAAAUAUGAGGACCAUCAUUACAUAUGAAUUAUCUACUUUUUUCGGAGUCCAAUGCAUCUAACCACCUGGCCAUCACUGACUUAUGAAAAUUAUCUGGCUUUCCUUGAAAAAAGAUCUUGUGCCGGGUGGUGGUGGUGCACGCCUAUAAUCCCAGCACUUGGAAGGCAGAGACAGGUGGAUUUCUGAGUUCAAGGCCAGCCUGGUCUACAAAGUGAGUUCCAGGACAGCCAGGGCUCUACAGAGAAAUCCUGUCUCAAAGCCAAAAAAAAAAUCUUGUUAGGUAAGCCAAUCUGGCCUUGGAUUCUUGAAUUCUUAAUCUGUCUGCUUUAGACCAUAGAAUACUGAGAUUAUAGGUAUGUAUUACCACACCCAGCUUGCAUUAAUCAUAUCCAACCAAAUUUGGAUAAAUGCUUUGGAUAAAUGUUAAAAUUCCCUAUGUUCCUGAUUAAGGAAGAAUGGACUAAUGAAGGUAAAAGAAGCUCAAACAAUACCUCAAUGCCAUAGCUAUUCCCCUUAUUAUGCAAAAUGGAUAUAAAACUUCUCUACAUCACAAGCUUAUUGUAACAACCAAAUAAAGCUUCUUCAGUAUCCGUGAACUUUACUUCUAUAGGAAUGUUCUGUGUGACUUUGAAAACUCUCACAGCAUCUUCUGUUUACUUUUUCUAUAUGCCCUUACCACAACUGAUAAUUAUCUGUACUUUAUAUGAAUCCCCAAUUAAUUGUAAGCUCCAUUAAAAAUGCCUGGCACAAAUCUGGUGCUCAAUAAAUUUUAUUAAAUGAAUGGAUGAAUAAAUGAAGUGAUAAUACUUUGUCAACUCUAUUUCAAAAGUUACUGCUAUUUCAUUUGUUAUUGUUGUUACUUUUUAUUAUCACACAGAUGACUGCAAAUCUUCAGAUACUACUUGUAUAACUAUAAAUUUAGUAUAUGGCUUUUAUUUUUUUCAUACCAGCCAGAGUCUUUAGCAGCCACAUUGCUAGAAAUGCCUGAGGAGAGCUGAGACUUACAGAACCAAAAAGAGCUAGCUCUCUAGCUCACCAUCCUGGGAUUUAAGUUGUAGUUACCAUUAGGCGGAUACAAGGCAGUAGUCAGGAACUCAGGGAAUCAGUGAUAUUUGGAGAAACAGGAAUAUCCUGGAGGUCAAAACAAACUAAUAGUAAGUGAUCUAGAUAAUAACUAGAGAAUGGUGAUUGACAAGGUAUUAAAAUGAAAGGGAAAGUUAAAUGUGCAAGCAUUAAAAUUCAAAGCAUGAAGUUGUGACUGUGAUUCUAAAAUGAGAUGUAUUUGAACUCAGUACUUCACAGUCUCCUUACUCUCAAACCUAGUAUUAGGAAAUACUUGAACCAACUUUCAUAUACAUGAGCAAGGGAUGAAACAGUAGUAGCUUGUUGAAGGAUGAGUCUAAUAAAAUAAGAUUCUGACAGUGACAGGUUAAAUUAUGAGUGUGUGUAUACAGAUUUUUUAAAAUAUUUUAUACACAGUAUGGAAACCAUCAAACUUUUUAGCCUCACACUCAUCUUGGUUUUGAUUGUCAGAUAUAAUAAAGAACAGAGUGGUAGAAUGGUAGAUUCUGGAAAUGAACAAGCUUGGUUCAAUCCUAGCUCUUUUAUUUACUUUUGUGGCCUUUGGACAAGUUACUUCACCAUUAUAUAUCAGUUCCUUCAUCUGUAAAACAAAGAUAAUAAAAACUCCUAUAUCAAUGUUUUGUGAAGUUUAAAUGAGUUGAUUCAUGUAAUGAUCUUAGAACAGUGCCUGGACAAAGUAAAUGUUAUGCAUUAUUGUUAUCAUUAUUGUUAUUAUUGUUAUUAUUAUUAUUAUCACAUAAUGACAAAUAUUAAAAGAGACAAAAUAGACAAAUAGGUAUUGUUAUCUUUACCUGUAUUGUAAAAACAUAGUGUCUAAGUAUGGAAUUUUCUCAUUAAAAGAAAAUUUUCAUUUGUGCUUGAGCAUAACUGACUACCAAAAUAUAAUCAUUAACAAAAUUAUAAAAGUACUGCAUCAAUUUUAUCCUUUUUUCUUAAUAUAAUCCCUAAAAGUUAAGGAAUAUACAUUUCUCAAUAUCAAACAAUCACAAAUACUACUACUGUUGGCCCACAAAACCUUUUCUGUAAGAGGUAAUGUGCUAUUAAAUAUUUUGAAACUAAUUCUACUAAAAGCAGAAAUAGUUGACAGGUUAGUCUUAAAAUAUCUGCACUCCAAAAAGGCAUAGAUGGAAAAGACUGGAUUUGAAAGAUCCCAAAACUAGGGAAAUACUGGGAAAAAAUAAACUAUGAAACAAUUUUCAAUACCUGGAUACGGCAGACACCAGAAAACCUGAAUGUCAAAACGCCGAUACACUGGAGACACUGCGCAGUUGUUGGAAGACAUAAAGAUGCUGGAAGAUGUGGAGAUGUUGGAAGACAGGCAGAUGCUGGAAGCCCUGGAGAUGCUGGAAGACUUGGAGGUGAAGGAAGACACAUGUACUCCUUGGAAGACAUGGAUUUUUUCCGAAGACAUGGAUUUUGGGAAGAUGUGGAUUUUCAGGAAGAUGUAGAUUUGUGGAAGGCGUAGAUUUUUAGGAAGACUUGGAUUGUUAGGAGGACAUGGAUUUGUGGAAGGCAUAGAUUUUCAGGAAGACAUGGAUUUUCCAGAAGACUUGGAUUUCUGGGAAGACUGGGAUUUAUGGAAGAUGUGGAUUUUCAGGAAGAUGUAGAUUUUCAGGAAGAUGUGGAUUUUCAGGAAGAUGUAGAUUUAUGGAAGGCAUAGAUUUUCAGGAAGACAUGGAUUUUUGGAAGGACAUGGAUUUCUGGGAAGACUUGGAUUUUCAGGAAGACGUGGAUAUUCACGAAGACAUGGAUUUUUGGGAAGUCGUGGAUUUUUGGGAAGAUAUGGAUUUUUCAGGAAGAUUUGGAUUUUUGGGAAGUCAUGGAUUUUCAGGAAGACAUGGGUUUCUGGGAAGACUUGGAUUUUCAGGAAGACAUUGAUUUUCGGGAAGACUUGGAUUUUCGGGAAAACACGGAUUUCUGGAAAGACACAGAUUACUGGGAAGAAGUGGAUCUUUGGGAAGACUCGGAUUUCUGGGAAGACUUGGACUUCUGGGAAGACUUGGACUUCUGGGAAGACUCGGAUUUCUGGGAAGACUUGGAUUUCUGGGAAGACUCGGAUUUCUGGGAAGACUCGGAUUUCUGGGAAGACUCGGAUUUCUGGGAAGACUCGGACUUCUGGGAAGACUUGGAUUUCUGGGAAGACUUGGAUUUUCGGGAAGACUUGGAUUUUCGGGAAGACUUGGACUUCUGGGAAGACUUGGAUUUCUGGGAAGACUCGGAUUUCUGGGAAGACUUGGAUUUUUGGGAAGACUUGGAUUUUCGGGAAGACUUGGAUUUCUGGGAAGACUCGGAUUUCUGGGAAGACUUCGAUUUCUGGGAAGACUCGGAUUUCUGGGAAGACUCGGAUUUCUGGGAAGACUUGGAUUUUCGGGAAGACUUGGAUUUUCGGGAAGACUUGGACUUCUGGGAAGACUUGGAUUUCUGGGAAGACUCGGAUUUCUGGGAAGACUUGGACUUCUGGGAAGACUCGGAUUUCUGGGAAGACUUGGACUUCUGGGAAGACUUGGAUUUUCGGGAAGACUUGGAUUUUCGGGAAGACUUGGAUUUUCGGGAAGACUUGGACUUCUGGGAAGACUUGGACUUCUGGGAAGACUUGGAUUUUCGGGAAGACUUGGAUUUUCGGGAAGACUUGGAUUUCUGGGAAGACUUGGACUUCUGGGAAGACUUGGAUUUUCGGGAAGACUUGGAUUUCUGGGAAGACUUGGAUUUUCGGGAAGACUUGGAUUUUCGGGAAGACUUGGAUUUCUGGGAAGACUUGGAUUUUCGGGAAGACUUGGAUUUUCGGGAAGACUUGGAUUUCUGGGAAGACUUGGAUUUUCGGGAAGACUUGGAUUUUCGGGAAGACUUGGAUUUUCAGGAAGACUUGGACUUCUGGGAAGACUUGGAUUUCUGGGAAGACUUGGAUUUCUGGGAAAACGUAGAUUUUCUGGAAGACUUAGAUUUUCCGGAAGACUUAGAUUUUCAGGAAGACUUGGAUUUUCAGGAAGACUUGGAUUUUCGGGAAGACUUGGAUUUUCGGGAAGACUUCGAUUUCUGGGAAGACUUCGAUUUUCCGGAAGACUUGGAUUUCUGGGAAGACUUCGAUUUUCCAGAAGACUUGGAUUUCUGGGAAGACUUCGAUUUUCCAGAAGACGUGGAUUUUCGGGAAGACAUGGAUCUUUGGGAAGACAUGGACUUUUGGGAAGACUUGGAUUUUCAGGAAGACUUAGAUUUCUGGGAAGACUUGGAUUUUUGGGAAGACAUAGAUUUUCAUGAAGACGUAGAUUUUUGGGAAGACAUGGAUUUUCGGGAAGACUUCGAUUUCUGGGAAGACUUGGAUUAUUUGGAAGACGGUGGAUUUUCAGGAAGACAUGGAUUUUGGGGAAGACGUUGAUUUCCUGGAAGAUGUGGAUUUUUGGGAAGACAUGGAUUUUCUGGAAGAUGUGGAUUUAAUGGAAGACAAAGAUUUUCUGCUGGAAGAUGUCAAUCUUCAGGAAGACAUUAAUCUUCAGGAAGACAUAUCUUGGCUGGAAGACUUGGACAUUAUUGGAAGACGUUAAUUUUCAGGAAGACAUAGAUCUAUUGGAAGACCUAGAUUUAAUGGAAGACAUGGGUAUCUGGAAGACUUGAACUGAUGGAAGACAUAGAUGAGCUGGAAGACCUGGAUUUUUCUGGAAGACAUAGACUGGUUGGAAGACCUGGAUAUUUUUCUGGAAGACCUGAAUUUUGUGGAAGACGUUGAUUAUUCUGGAAGAUGUAGAUUGUUAUGGAAGACAUGGAUUUUUCAGGAAGACUUAGAUUCUUCUGGAAGACUUGGAUUUUUCUGGAAGACAUGGAUUUUCCUGGAAGACAUGAAUUUUUCUGGAAGACGUGGAUUUUUUUCUGGAAGACAUGGAUCCCUUGGAAGACAAAGAUUUUCCUGGAAGACACAGAUUUUCCUAGAAGAUCUAGAUAUCACGGAAGAUCUAGAUACCAUGGAAGACUGAAUUUACUGGAAGACUCUGAGGUUGUUGGAAGACAUAUAUCAUCUGGAAGACAUAUUUUCUGGAAGAUCACGAUUGUCUGGAAGACCUUGACAGUGUUGGAAGACUUGCAGUUGCUGGAAGACCUGGAGAUGUUGGAAGACCUUGGUACUGGCACCACUGGAAACCCUAGAUAUUGGAAACA